GAAGACAGUUAAAGGUAAUGGGUAACUGGUCAGCCUCCCUCCUGCCUGCUGUCUCUUCCGGUUACAGGGGGAAGUUUUAAGGUCAGUAAGUACCCUGAACACUUAAUUAUACACUCUGAAGGGGAAAGGAAGAGGAUUCAUUCAAUGUUCAUUGAACCUUACAUCUCUUCCCCGAAGUGUCAAAAUACUAAGACUCAUCCAUGCUAAACUUAGGUAUACUUACAAAACAACAGUAUUAUUAAUAACCAUUAAUUAAGUAGAAUUAGAAACUAAUAGUUUAACCUCUUCUCUCCUGCUCUAAAUAAAGAUAUAUAGAAAAAACAUGCUGUCUUGAAAAAAUAGGUGUUAAUUUUGCACAAUUAUCUGGUCUUUUCAGACCACAGUCAAUUAAAAUUGAUGUAACUGCAGUGCACGCUCCGUAAGACUGACUGGUAAUUACAUGCAGCUUAAACCAGUUGUUGGAUACACCUACUCUUCAGAGGGAGGGGAGAGGACAAGAAGAAAAGGCAGUUGUCACUGAAGAUCCGGAGCACAUUACAGUAUGUUUGUCAAGAAGACAACAUGAGGAUUACCAGAUAUAUUAAAGGGUACGCAGGAUAGCAGUAACCGUAAUUUCAAGACAGAAGACGGCCUAUAACUAACAACUACAUUUUGAACUAUCUUCAAGUCCUAGCUCAGGAGUUUUUAUAUUCUCAGAUACAAAUAGAUGAAACAUCGUUUAGUAGCAGCACAGAUAAGUAUCUGUUGAAGCUCCAGACUUUUUUAGCACUUAUACUUUCUUUAUAUAUCACUUAAGUCUGUAGUGCUGUGCUUCCACUUUCUUGAAGACAGCAGGAAAUUUUCAGCAAAGCAGCCUUCCGGUUAAUGCGGAAAACUUUGCAAGAUGGUCAAGUUAUCAUUCAAUGCAAAAACAUAUGUUUCCCAUCUAGCAAAGAUAUAAACAAGGAAAAGUGCUAAAAAGUGACCUACAAAUAACAAGUAAGAUUUAAAAAUAGGACUGACAGAUUUUCUUUUCUUGCGUUUCUGUAUUAUGAACUCAUUUGUUAUAAAGCUAAUUAAAUGACAGAUGAAAUUGAAAGUCAGAGGCAGCCAACCCAAACAAAUGAAUAAAAGAACAGUUUUAAUUAAAAAAAACGGAAUAUUCAACACCCACAAGACAGUGUCACCCAUUCUCUACCACAAUCAAGAGUAUUUGCAACAUGUCCUUGUUUCUCUUUCAUGCACAAACCAACCAUUUCACAAUUGCAUCUUCUUUUGUACCUGUCUCUUGCUGUUCCUUAGACAACUCCAGCUGCUGAUGACUAACAAGAUCCUGCUGCUUAUGAACACAUUCUGAAAUAAUGAUUCAAGAACAAGUUUGUGAAUCUCCCAGAGGAGUCUGUGGGGAGGAACUGAGAACAUGGAAGAUGCUGUUCUCUGCAUGCAUUCGUCUGCAUUCUUAAGUGGCUGAUACUCUGCUUUCCUGUCUUUUCUGAGAUACAUGUCCUUGUAAAUGCCCAGAGGAUGAGGAAACAAACACCUGCAUACGUUCCAUCUCCCCCACCCCAGGCUCUUUAAGACAGAGGGGGAAGUAAAUGUCAUAAAGUUGUAGGGUUUUUUUAAUUACUUAAAAUUUCUCCCACUUCAAGCUUUGAGCAAUUCCGAUGACAGAUCACAGAGAGCUCUGUUGGAGUGAGUUGUGCCCAUUUUUGUAUCGUGCUGUGGAGUUUGGUAGGAAGGAAAGCCUUUUAAGUCCCAGGUCUUUCCUCAAGUGAAUCAGAAGCUUGAGCAAGGUGCAUUAAACCAGUUUCUUCCCCCCUAUUUUAAUGUUUCCUUUGGUGCUGCUGGCACUUUUGUUUUCCUUGUACUCC